rnacentral:rRNA from 1 species
GACGAACGCUGGCGGCGUGCUUAACACAUGCAAGUCGAACGGAAAGGCCCUUCGGGGUACCCGAGUGGCGAACGGGUGAGUAACACGUGGGUGACCUGCCCUGCACUUUGGGAUAAGCCUGGGAAACUGGGUCUAAUACCGGAUAGGACUACGCGAUGCAUGUCGUGUGGUGGAAAGCUUUUGCGGUGUGGGAUGGGCCCGCGGCCUAUCAGCUUGUCGGUGAGGUUAUGGCUUACCAAGGCGACGACGGGUAGCCGGCCUGAGAGGGUGACCGGCCACACUGGGACUGAGAUACGGCCCAGACUCCUACGGGAGGCAGCAGUGGGGAAUAUUGCACAAUGGGCGCAAGCCUGAUGCAGCGACGCCGCGUGAGGGAUGACGGCCUUCGGGUUGUAAACCUCUUUCAGCAGGGACGAAGCGCAAGUGACGGUACCUGUAGAAGAAGGACCGGCCAACUACGUGCCAGCAGCAGCCGCCG